UAGGGAAUCUUCCACAAUGGGCGAAAGCCUGAUGGAGCAACGCCGCGUGAGUGAUGAAGGCCUUCGGGUUGUAAAACUCUUUCAUUCGGGACGAAACGGAGGCUGAGGAAAUGCAGACUCUCUGACGGUAACGGAGGAGGAAGCCCCGGCUAACUACGUGCCAGCAGCCGCGGUAAUAAGUAGGGGGCAAGCGUUGUCCGGAUUCACUGGGCGUAAAGCGCGCGCAGGCGGUGAUGUAAGUCUGAGGUGAAAACCCGAGGCUCAACUUCGAGCUUGCCUUGAAUACUGCGUCACUUGAGGAUAGGAGAGGCAAGGGGAAUUCCACUUGUAGCGGUGAAUUGCUUAGAGUUGUGGGGGAACACCUGUGGCAAAGGCGCCUUGCUGGCCUAUUUCUGACGCUGAGGAGCAAAAGCGUGGGGAGCAAACAGG
rnacentral:rRNA from 1 species